rnacentral:misc_RNA from 1 species
CUCACACGGCACUCAAGCACGCCUCACCGCACACAUAUCUUCAUGAGCGCUUGCACUGCCUAUCCUUGUGCACGGUCGUCAUGUGCGUCUUGUGUGCCAUAGACGCCUUCCUAUCGCGCGCACGUGUGCGCUCGAGUCGGCGGACUGGGAAGGUAAAGCACCGCGAGCAUCGACUGUUGCUGUAGUGGCGCCGCCCUCAUCCUUACGUUCUGUGUUUCUGCUGUACGAUUCGUUUUCGCCUCUCCCUUCCUGUGAAAAUUCUUUUCGUUGUUUCGUGUCGCACUGCAUGCGAACGCCGGCGCUACGGAGCGAGUGGUGAGCGUCUGUGUGCGUCUCGGGCGUGGACUCGUUUGCGCUUGCAUUGCUUGCCUGCGCACUCCAUAAUAAUGGCACGAGUAAUAAGGAGCACGCUGCCCAAGGUGCGCAGUUAAAGCGAAAUGACAGACAGCUGUAAUGAAGGUGCGCGUGCAUAACACUACUAAACACAUGCAGACACUUUCGUACACGUAGACACGUGCCACGCGAACCGCCCUUAUCCCUACAAACAUCGCCGCCCUUUCUUCUCUCUCUCGCAUCGUCUUCCUGAACACCUCUCUCUGCCCCUUUUAUGCGCCUUCUGCUGCCCACUGCGAUCAUCAUCCGUCAGCCCGCCGCAUUCUGUGUGCGCGCGCGUGUGUGCC